UUCUUCCGUCUGUGAGUUUCUAGCUCCUCCUAACAGCAAGAGGAAUCUGUCUCUGGUGAAGGCUGCCGAAGGCGGGGGCAAGAAGCUCUCAGAGAGCAACUACCUUGAAGAACCUUCCCUGAAGAACAAGCUCGUUCUCUCCCAAAUUGGAAAAUCCUCACAGGGUGCCAAUUAGUCCAGAGGGCACUUGGAACUUAACCAGCCUAAAAGCUAACGACUCUUAAAGGGAAAGCGAGCAAGGAGCAAAGGCAACCUUCGGGGCCCCUUGGCAGCAGGCAGACAGCUUUUAAAGAAAAAGCACAGGGUAAUAAUGAGCUGUUACCCUGGGGGAACACUCUGGAAUAUAAUGUUAAAAUCUAUCAUCAAUUCAAGUUAAACGCAGUCCUUUUUCCUCCAAAAGAGUACAGAUUUCAUUGCCAAGUUCUACACCCAUCUCCUUUACCCUGGAAGUGAAAUAUCUAUUCUGAAAAAGACGUAACAUCAGAAACCUCCUGAAGUCCAUACGUAAAUGGGUGAACAGCAACUGACUGGAGUAGUCCAGAGGUAUGCAGACCGGCAGGAGGAAGCUGGCUCGCCCUGUGCGAUCUCAAAACUAGAUGGCCGCCCCUCAGCUCGCUGGAGAGACGGCUGCGCAAGUACCUGAAGCUUCAGUCCAGGGAUGGUGGCCUUCCAAAGAGGAUAUUGUCUGUUUACCUUACAACUGCCAACAAUAAACCAAGCCGCUCUUUGCUGGCCAGUUGAGAGCUGUUUAUAAGGCACCGUCCAAGUGAUGACAGAAUCUGGCAGCUCCUCAUACAUCAGUCCAAGGCGAAAAGAAGCUCCCUGCUUGUGAGUGUGUGCGCACACCUGUGUGCACACGCGAGGGUGUAGUGGAUGCAUCCCUCCAUCAUCUCCCUCAGCCCAUGGAUAGCCACUCAGUCAACAUACGACCUGAGGGAAAACAGUAAGUUCGCUCCGCAGGCGCAGGAAUGGCACAGUCUCACUGCCCAUCGCUGCACCCAAAGCUUCUUCCAAACUGAAACUCUGGAGCUGCCGGUGCUGGACGACACGCCCCCACCUUAUAGCAAGCACUUGUGACUCAGCUUUACAGAGCCCAGAGCUUGGUUCUCCCUCCCCAAAAAUGUCAAGGAAAGACAAUUUCUCCCUUCUUCCCGCAGCACGAAUUGUUCCUUCAGGACAAAUUGUUAAGAGGAAAGUAGCACUAUAUUCAUUUAAGGUAAAGAGUAAAGGACCGGGAGCCUGGCUUAACUCUCUCGGAGGAUUUGCUUUUUAAAAGGAGAACUUCUAGGCCCAAAGGAAUGAAGUGCUAAUAGCAGAAUUUCGGUAGAGACUUCGAAACACGCCCAAGCCCAAAGAACCCGUAAGACCAGUCCAGACAGUGCCUGCGCGCAUAAUCCACUGCCCGUGGCUUCCCUCUCGGAAGCAUUUAGUCUGGAACAAAAGCUGAC